GAAAUGCGAUAAUUAAUGUGAAUUGCAGAAUUCAGUGAAUCAUCGAGUCUUUGAACGCACAUUGCGCCCCCUGGUAUUCCGGGGGGCAUGCCUGUCCGAGCGUCAUUGCUGCCCUCAAGCACGGCUUGUGUGUUGGGCUUCCGUCCCUGGCAACGGGGACGGGCCCAAAAGGCAGUGGCGGCACCAUGUCUGGUCCUCGAGCGUAUGGGGCUUUGUCACCCGCUCCCGUAGGUCCAGCUGCAGCUAGCCUCGCAACCAAUCUUUUUAACCAGGUUGACCUCGGAUCAGGUAGGGAUACCCGCUGAACUUAAGC
rnacentral:misc_RNA from 1 species